AUGGCCCAACCUCCCACCCGUGACUAUUGUACCUUGUUGCUUCGGCGGGCCCGCCAGCGUUGCUGGCCGCCGGGGGGCGACUCGCCCCCGGGCCCGUGCCCGCCGGAGACCCCAACAUGAACCCUGUUCUGAAAGCUUGCAGUCUGAGUGUGAUUCUUUGCAAUCAGUUAAAACUUUCAACAAUGGAUCUCUUGGUUCCGGCAUCGAUGAAGAACUCAACGAAAUGGGAUAACUAAUGUGAAUUGCAUAAUUCUCUGGAUCAUCGAGUCUUUGAACGCACAUUGCGCCCCCUGGUAUUCCGGGGGGCAUGCCUGUCCGAGCGUCAUUGCUGCCCUCAAGCCCGGCUUGUGUGUUGGGCCCUCGUCCCCCGGCUCCCGGGGGACGGGCCCGAAAGGCAGCGGCGGCACCGCGUCCGGUCCUCGAGCGUAUGGGGCUUCGUCUUCCGCUCCGUAGGCCCGGCCGGCGCCCGCCGACGCAUUUGUUUGCAACUUGUUUUUUUCCAGGUUGACCUCGGAUCAGGUAGGGAUA
rnacentral:misc_RNA from 1 species